rnacentral:rRNA from 1 species
UAACACAUGCAAGUCGAGGGGCAUCAGGAAUAAAGCUUGCUUUCUUUGCUGGCGACCGGCGCACGGGUGAGUAACACGUAUCCAACCUGCCCUUUACUCGGGGAUAGCCUUUCGAAAGAAAGAUUAAUACCCGAUGGCAUAAUGAUUCCGCAUGGUUUCAUUAUUAAAGGAUUCCGGUAAAGGAUGGGGAUGCGUUCCAUUAGGUUGUUGGUGAGGUAACGGCUCACCAAGCCUUCGAUGGAUAGGGGUUCUGAGAGGAAGGUCCCCCACAUUGGAACUGAGACACGGUCCAAACUCCUACGGGAGGCAGCAGUGAGGAAUAUUGGUCAAUGGGCGCUAGCCUGAACCAGCCAAGUAGCGUGAAGGAUGAAGGCUCUAUGGGUCGUAAACUUCUUUUAUAUAAGAAUAAAGUGCAGUAUGUAUACUGUUUUGUAUGUAUUAUAUGAAUAAGGAUCGGCUAACUCCGUGCCAGCAGCCGCGGUAAUACGGAGGAUCCGAGCGUUAUCCGGAUUUAUUGGGUUUAAAGGGAGCGUAGGUGGACUGGUAAGUCAGUUGUGAAAGUUUGCGGCUCAACCGUAAAAUUGCAGUUGAUACUGUCAGUCUUGAGUACAGUAGAGGUGGGCGGAAUUCGUGGUGUAGCGGUGAAAUGCUUAGAUAUCACGAAGAACUCCGAUUGCGAAGGCAGCUCACUGGACUGCAACUGACACUGAUGCUCGAAAGUGUGGGUAUCAAACAGGAUUAGAUACCCUGGUAGUCCACACAGUAAACGAUGAAUACUCGCUGUUUGCGAUAUACAGUAAGCGGCCAAGCGAAAGCAUUAAGUAUUCCACCUGGGGAGUACGCCGGCAACGGUGAAACUCAAAGGAAUUGACGGGGGCCCGCACAAGCGGAGGAACAUGUGGUUUAAUUCGAUGAUACGCGAGGAACCUUACCCGGGCUUAAAUUGCAGUGGAAUGAUGUGGAAACAUGUCAGUGAGCAAUCACCGCUGUGAAGGUGCUGCAUGGUUGUCGUCAGCUCGUGCCGUGAGGUGUCGGCUUAAGUGCCAUAACGAGCGCAACCCUUAUCUUUAGUUACUAACAGGUCAUGCUGAGGACUCUAGAGAGACUGCCGUCGUAAGAUGUGAGGAAGGUGGGGAUGACGUCAAAUCAGCACGGCCCUUACGUCCGGGGCUACACACGUGUUACAAUGGGGGGUACAGAAGGCAGCUAGCGGGUGACCGUAUGCUAAUCCCAAAAUCCUCUCUCAGUUCGGAUCGAAGUCUGCAACCCGACUUCGUGAAGCUGGAUUCGCUAGUAAUCGCGCAUCAGCCACGGCGCGGAGAAUACGCUCCCGGGCCUUGUACACACCGCCCGUCAAGCCAUGGGAGCCGGGGGUACCUGAAGUACGUAACCGAAAGGAUCGUCCUAGGGUAAAACUGGUGACUGGGGGC